rnacentral:rRNA from 1 species
GACGAACGCUGGCGGCGUGCCUAAUACAUGCAAGUAGAACGCUGAAGGAGGAGCUUGCUUCUCUGGAUGAGUUGCGAACGGUUGAGUAACGCGUAGGUAACCUGCCUUGUAGCGGGGAAUAACUAUUGGAAACUAUAGCUAAUACCGCAUAAGAGUAGAUGUCGCAUGACAUUUGCUUAAAGGUUGCAAUUGCAUCACUACCAGAUGGACCUGCGUUGUAUUAGCUAGUUGGUGAGGUAACGGCUCACCAAGGCAACGAUACAUAGCCGACCCGAGAGGGUGAUCGGCCAAACUGGGACUGAGACAUGGCCCAGAAUCCUACGGGAGGCAGCAGUAGGGAAACUUCGGCAAUGGACGGAAGUCUGACCGAGCAACGCCGCGUGAGUGAAGAAGGGUUUCGGAUCGUAAAGCUCUGUUGUAAGAGAAGAACGAGUGUGAGAGUGGAAAGUUCACACUGUGACGGUAUCUUACCAGAAAGGGACGGCUAACUACGUG